AGAAUCAACGCUGGCGGCGUGCCUAACACAUGCAAGUCGAACGCGAAAGCCCCGAAAGGGGCAAGUAGAGUGGCAAACGGGUGAGUAACACGUGGGUGACCUGCCUUCGAGCGGGGGAUAACGUCCGAAAGGGACGCUAAUACCGCAUAACAUCCUGCCUUUGAAGAGGUGGAGAUCAAAGCUGGGGAUCGCAAGACCCGGCACUUGAAGAGGGGCCCGCGUCUGAUUAGCUAGUUGGUGGGGUAACGGCCUACCAAGGCAACGAUCAGUA
rnacentral:rRNA from 1 species